AACGAACGUUGGCGGCGUGGAUUAGGCAUGCAAGUCGAACGAAUCCCUGGGGCAACUCAGGGGGAAGUGGCGAAAGGGGCAGUAAGGCAUGGGUAACCUACCCCGAGGACUGGGAUAGCCUUCCUAACGGAAGGGUAAUACUGGGCGAUCUGGUUGGGAGGCAUCUCUCGGCCAGCAAAGGAAUUUCGCCUUGGGAGGGGCUCAUGUGCUAUUAGCUAGUUGGUGAGGUAACGGCUCACCAAGGCAAAGAUGGCUAGCAGGUGUGAGAGCACGACCUGCGCCACUGGCACUGUGACACUGGCCAGACUCCUACGGGUGGCAG
rnacentral:rRNA from 1 species